AUCUCUUAUUUGACACUGGCCAAGGCUGUGCCUUUUGUCUCGAGAGAAAAGACUUUCGAACGAAACAAUACUACUCCGCUCUCGCGGAUUUGGAUCACCGGAAAAUUAGACGGAUCGCUUUUCUAAAGAACAAUUUAUUGUGGACGAACUACGCGACAGCCGUUCUCAUUAGAAACGCGGGCGAAAGAUAUAGCGUCUCUUUGUCCAGAAACGCUGAGGAACAUCGUUCUUCGUUCUAGAGAGAAAUGCUUUCAUGCUCGAGUCAGAUGAAACGAUCUUUUCAGAAGCCACGAGAAGUGGACGAGAGAUCAAAUCGAUCUCAACGUUACUGGCGUUACUGUUAUUUAAAAAAGUACGUAUCAUCGUGCUAAGCGAUCGACGCUCAAUUAAGAUUUUCAUUAGAAAGAUUCAUUUAAAUCCUGUGAUCUCAUCCGUUAUGUGAUUUCGCGUGACACGAUAACAUUCCCACCUUUCGCCUAUUUCAACAAUGUUUCGUGUCUUUCGAUGAGUCACCGCGACUGACUAUAAUAUACCCGAUCUAAUCUCCUGCAUCCUCCGUGUUCUUUCCUGAGCAAGGUAUUGCGCAUCUCUACCAGCUUCCUAGAUACUUCCUAGGACCGUACAGAGUGCCUCUGAUAAACCGCACCGGGUGAAUUUUUAAAACAGGCCAAUGCAUUUAUCCAAUUUUCAUCGAGUCAUGAAACUGGCCUUUAAACAUUUCGCUUAUAUAAUCCGUUAUCCUCUCUCUCUCCGUACAAUGCAGAAAGGGCAACGCUCUGUUCGUUUUCUCAUGGCCUCACUCUGUUCCCUUGCUUUCGCAAUCCAUUCAACGCAUCGCGGCUGCACGCUGCUCCUGAUAAAAAUUUCCCUCGAUACGUGCCGGGUCGUACGGGAAGCUCGUUUCAAAGUUCUACAACGCAGGAUAUAAUAGCUGCAACAUCAUUUCUGCCGGGUUACGCGAAACCGUUCACGAGCUCUCCUCUCACAGAGUCGCCGGCUUUCUAGCGGAUCUAUGCAGACGUAGGGUGACCCGAGAGCGCCGCGAUCCAAGAAAAGAACGUUGCUUCUCUUUUUUACCCCCCGGUGUUACAUCGAAAACGGUCCCCUUACGUAAAGCGUUGCUAACGUUAGAUUGGCAGAGUUCCAGGCGCAAUGCGGCACACAAAGCCGCGGCGGCGGCGGCGGCGGCGGCGGCAGCCGCCUACAUCCCUCCGAUUCACCGCCACCCGGUCGGGCACGCGAAGGGUGGUUACGGUUACCGUUCAAUCUCGACGAUUACUCUACCGAUGUAGAUCGAUUAUAUACCCGCCGAUAUACCGAGCGAUUCCUGUUUCCGUAUCGGCUCUCGGAUAUCCGUCAGCGGACGCUGAAAGUCGAUCGGCUCCUUCGCCUAGCUUUACACCUCCAAUUGAUCUUCGAUCGAACACACCCGAGCCACCUACUGAAUCCUUCGCAUGUUCGAGGUCUAUCGAUCUCAGGAACACCCGAGACCCUCGUACCUGACGUGUCAUAAUUCACCUUGCGACUCCGAGGUGGUCGCUGGUGUGAAAAGUUACUCGCAUGAGUCAUUGAAACUCUCGACAAGUGUAAAGACACGCAUGGUGUCACAGCGUGUGAACGAAGUAGGAUCAUUUUCGAGGUAGAUAAGGACGGUGUUCGACGACUCGGAUUCAGGUAUUCGCGCGACACGAUUCUCCCUGCCCGGGGAAAUGUCGCGGCACGAUUUCUCGCUCGACGAUUCGCAAUAGAACACCGAUUCUAGUAGAGACCUACGUCUCUGUGACCAAGAAUUAUACGACUAGAUACCGCGUCUUACGUAAUGUGUACGUACGCGCGUCGUCGUGAUACACGUGGUCGUCUCGAGAUUUGACUCUCGAUGAUGCAGGAAAAUAUGUAUACACGUCGUCUGAAAAUAGAUGCUACAGACAGAAGAGUUACCUUUUUACUUUUUCAAUAUGUCAAACAUCAUCUCUUUUUAAUACAACAUCGAUUCCUCGUGCGGUUCUCUGACGCUCGGUUCCUCCGUCGUCCGAUGCAUAUCGUCCUUAUAAUUAGCUCGUUUCCCUCCUUUUAAUUAGUCAGACAAUCGUGGAACGUGUUCCUCGGCUGAGAUCACGCGUUAAAACUAAUUUGAAGAAUUCGUUGCCAGGAGAUUUCUUAACAAGGGGAAAGUGAAGAUCGUCUGCCGUGAGACAUUUCGUUCAAAAAACAAUUCGUGCAAUGCCCCUCUUUGCGACGAGCACAUCAAACCGGAUAAACAUCGUUUCGAGCAAUUUAUUGCGAAACUAAUGCCGGGGGAACAAAAACCAUUAGAUGCAUCCGCAGAUUAUCUCCCAUCGAUCUCUGAACAGCCGCGAACGUGGAAACGAAGUCACGCGUUCUAAUUGCAACGUUUCAACGAUGCAGAGAUCAGAAGAACGUAUCUGAAUGUAAAUUCAAAGUCACGAGAUGUUUUUUAAUUAAAGAACGCAUGAAAUAUCUGAUGAGACGCGAUAUCUUUAUCUCAUAUGAUUCUCUAGAUUGUAUCAAGAGUUUUCAACGCGUCGAUGAUCGAGGUUUCGUGAGAUCAGUCUCUGCGGAGACUUCGAGAGUAAUACAGCAGACUCGUUAUUGUACUUCAGGCCCGUUCGCCCGCAGAAUAAAAAGAGGAAAUUUCCUCUCGUACUUAUUAUUUCAUUUACCAACCAACACUUCCUCGCUUCUAAUAAAUGGAAUUACAAGUU